AUUGAACGCUGGCGGCAUGCUUUACACAUGCAAGUCGAACGGUAACAGGCCUUCGGGUGCUGACGAGUGGCGAACGGGUGCGUAAUGCAUCGGAACGUACCCAGAGGUGGGGGAUAACGCAGCGAAAGCUGUGCUAAUACUGCAUGUGAUCUGAGGAUGAAAGCGGGGGACCGAGCAGCAAUGUUUGGCCUCGCGCCUUUGGAGCGGCCGAUGUCGGAUUAGCUAGUUGGUGGGGUAAAGGCCUACCAAGGCGACGAUCCGUAGCUGGUCUGAGAGGACGACCAGCCACACUGGGACUGAGACACGGCCCAGACUCCUACGGGAGGCAGCAGUGGGGAAUUUUGGACAAUGGGCGCAAGCCUGAUCCAGCAAUGCCGCGUGCGGGAAGAAGGCCUUCGGGUUGUAAACCGCUUUUGGCAGGAACGAAACGGUGUCCGCUAAUACCGGGCGCUAAUGACGGUACCUGCAGAAUAAGCACCGGCUAACUACGUG
rnacentral:rRNA from 1 species